rnacentral:lncRNA from 1 species
GUGAGUUCAAGGCCACCCUGAACUACUCAGUGAGACUCUGUCUCAAACCAAAAAAUAAAUACAUAAAUCAAUUUUUAAAAUAACAAGAGAGGGUCUGUCCACAGUGUGGCUUCCUGCUUUGACCCAGGUCAGGAAACCUCAAGGUAUUCCUUGGGUGACAUACUGCCCAGAAAUCAGCCUCAGCAGCCCUGGUCCCCACCCUUAGCACCUGUCCCUGCUCCUGGCCGCUCUGACGCUGCCCUCCUGCUCGCUGCUGCUGCUCCAGGGCCUGCUGCCACCCACAGUCCCCUCCCCGUGCUCCUGUCCUCAUCCUCUCUCUCCUAGUACACCCUGACACUGUGGCAGGGCAGAGCUGAC